rnacentral:lncRNA from 1 species
AAAAAAUUAAUAAAUAUCCCACCGAAAACAAAACAACUAAAAUCUCGAAUACCUCGUCUACUCGUCAUUUAUCUCCCUCUUUAUCCUUCAUUCUUCACCCUCGUCUUCUUCACCCAAAUCACUCCAGCCCAGAACAAAGAUACAGUCCCGCUUAAUUUUCUCCAUUCACAUCUCAAACAACCGAUCAUCUUUCAGAAAAUGCAACCCUCACCGGGAUCAACCCCAUAUAUACUUCAAACUCGGCUAGCGAGUCCACUCAGCCGGCGACCCCCGCCGAAUCGACUAAGAUAUCGAGGCCAGACCACCCAAGAAGAAGAGGGUUUGUCUCAUUACUCCUUUUGCUUUCGGUCAGUUUUCGAAGUUUUAGUCUUGGUGAUUUGUGUUGGGCACUGUGUUAUGAUGGAUUCACUUUCAAAUCGAACAGAAUACGCAUGAAGGUGGAUGCUUUUUCGUAGAUUUCGGAGCUGCUUGAUUCAGGGAAGGCAACGUUUAAGAAGAUCAGUGAUGAGUAUGAGGUGAGUUUCAAAAAAGAUUAGUGCCCAGAAGGUGUUUGUGUUAAUGCCUGAGUGGGGAUUUGUGUGCAGGUUUCACAAGGAGCAGAUGAAGGCUGAAGGAGAUCAGGGAGUUGUGCGCAAUUGAUAUUUCGAAUGAGGAGGCUACUCAAUGCUGCAUAUUUGCUUCAGAAUCCUCAUGUUGAUUCUUGAAGGUAAUACUUAAAUUUGCUAGUCACGUGUUCAUUUUACUGCUUAUAGAUGAUGUACUCUUGCAGAUUGAGACUCCUGAUGUUGAUUAUAUUAUGGCUGGCUAAAUAGGUCCAUGGAUAUAUAUAGUUUAGCUUCGGUCUGAUAGAUUUUGAUGGUUUACCUUUAUUCCCAAAGCAAUUUUGUUAGGAUAAUUCAUUAUAGCAGAACACUUUGGUCUUUUUGUUAUCGAUUACACAUAGUGACAUAGCAUAUAUGAGCUGCAUCCUUUUGCCUGAUACACUAGAAAGUUGGUUAACAUCUGCAUUAAGACAGAGCAAAGCAUAUGGGUUUACUUUGAAUAGUUCAAUAUACAGAAGGGUGUGCCUUUUUAUAGUAAUAAAAAACAAGUUGGGUCAAUCUAUGUGGUUAUGUCAGAUAUAAGAAUUGACCCUUGUGUAGUCCUUGGUAAUGGAUUGAAGGUCAUCAUCUCUUUCUUUUAAGCUCUUUUAUUUUGUGGCCUUUAAAGCCCUAAUUUAGUUUGUGGCCACCCCUGCAUUGAUUGAGCUUCUCACAAGAUUUGUAGGUUUCAUCCUUUAUAACCAAUAUGUUUGGCAUGGUAGUUUCAAUGCAAAUGACCACUAUAAGAGAGAACAAGUGGAAUCAAUGGCCACUAGCAGCUUUAGGCUUUGAUGAUGGCGUACUGUUCUCUUUCUUGCAAGCAAUUAAUCAUAUUGUAUCUAUUGGUAACUUUAGGCUUCAUAUGCUCUGGAUUGAGAUUGACAUAUCUUUAUAAGCCAAAUAUGAUUUAUUUUACUAUUGUGCAAGGUUGCGGUUACAAAGAACAAGUAGGAGCAGUGAUCAACCAAAGGCUUCAAGGGAGAACUCUUUGGAGAAGCAUAUUGAAAGAAACAUAACUAGCCUAAAUUUAGUGUCUGUUGUAGCAUGCUUCUCUAAAUUUAACACAAUAUUCCUUUCAACACGCACAACAACUUCCCUAACUAGCACUUAGUCCAAUUCUAAGCCUAACUAGGGUAAUCGAAUCAAAACAUCCAAAAAUCCCCCAAUUCAAACCCUAGCCCGAAAAUCCUCGUACACACUUCGAAUUGGUUAAUUACCUUUUAGGGGAUUGUUACACACGGAGAGUACUUCCAAAUGGGACUCAAAUCACCGGAGAUGGUGGUCGGAGGAGCGAGUUCCGGCGAAAAACCUCCACGCACAGCCACGGCUUCCGGUCGCUCCUUCUCCCUCACGGUGGCGCGACACCACCGGCUAGCUACCCAGAUCGAAUGAGGACGAGCCAAGCUUCAAAUCCCGACCGGUAUGGCGGCCUAACUCCGCCGGACGGCGACGAACGGAGGUGGAGAAGGCACCAGGUCGGGAACCGAGCGGGGGAGAAGUGUCACAUUCCGGUUCUUAAGUCAAUUUGCGGUUAUUUACUUUUGGGUUACAUUGACCUUUUACCGUUUUAAGUAACCGUUUACUAAUUAAGACUCCAAAAGUUGACUUUUCUUCCGUUUGGAAUUUUGGAAAUCUUUCUUCAUGAAAGUUGUAGAGGACGUUAAUAUGAGUUCGUAGACAUGCUAAACGUUAAAAUCGGAGUUAGCAUGAAAAAGUUAUUAGAUAAAAAUAGUAGACUUUGUUUGGUAAAGAGGGGUGGAAUUGUUUUAGUUAUGUAUUAUUUUUGGGUUUUUUAGUU